rnacentral:lncRNA from 1 species
CCACCACGAGUUGCUGGCCAUCCGUGAGGCCUGUAUCAAGCUAGAAAAAGACUACCAGCCCGGGAUCACCUUCAUCGUGGUGCAGAAGAGGCACCACACCCGGCUCUUCUGCACUGACAAGAACGAGCGGGUUGGGAAAAGUGGAAACAUUCCAGCAGGCACGACUGUGGACACGAAAAUCACCCACCCCACCGAGUUCGACUUCUACCUGUGUAGUCACGCUGGCAUCCAGGUAAGGCCGGGAGUCCCCUUCGGACAGAGUCUUGGCCGUCUGCCGUGUCAUCCCCACAUUCAGCAAACACUUGCACU